UACGUAGGGACCAAGCGUUGUUCGGAUUUACUGGGCGUAAAGGGCGCGUAGGCGGCGCGGUAAGUCACUUGUGAAAUCUCUGAGCUUAACUCAGAACGGCCAAGUGAUACUGCAGUGCUAGAGUGUGGAAGGGGCAAUCGGAAUUCUUGGUGUAGCGGUGAAAUGCGUAGAUAUCAAGAGGAACACCUGAGGUGAAGACGGGUUGCUGGGCCAACACUGACGCUGAUGCGCGAAAGCGUGGGGAGCAAACAGG
rnacentral:rRNA from 1 species